GAUGAACGCUGGCGGCGUGCCUAAUACAUGCAAGUCGAGCGAACGGACGAGAAGCUUGCUUCUCUGAUGUUAGCGGCGGACGGGUGAGUAACACGUGGAUAACCUACCUAUAAGACUGGGAUAACUUCGGGAAACCGGAGCUAAUACCGGAUAAUAUUUUGAACCACAUGGUUCAAAAGUGAAAGACGGUCUUGCUGUCACUUAUAGAUGGAUCCGCGCUGCAUUAGCUAGUUGGUAAGGUAACGGCUUACCAAGGCAACGAUGCAUAGCCGACCUGAGAGGGUGAUCGGCCACACUGGAACUGAGACACGGUCCAGACUCCUACGGGAGGCAGCAGUAGGGAAUCUUCCGCAAAGGGCGAAAGCCUGACGGAGCAACGCCGCGUGAGUGAUGAAGGUCUUCGGAUCGUAAAACUCUGUUAUUAGGGAAGAACAUAUGUGUAAGUAACUGUGCACAUCUUGACGGUACCUAAUCAGAAAGCCACGGCUAACUACGUG
rnacentral:rRNA from 1 species